AUACGGAGGGUGCAAGCGUUGUCCGGAUUUAUUGGGUUUAAAGGGUGCGUAGGCGGACAGAUAAGUCAGUGGUGAAAUACUUCGGCUCAACCGGAGAGGUGCCAUUGAUACUGUUUGUCUUGAGUGAAGUCGAAGUAGGCGGAAUUGAUGGUGUAGCGGUGAAAUGCAUAGAUAUCAUCAAGAACACCGAUAGCGAAGGCAGCUUACUUGGUUUCAACUGACGCUGAUGCACGAAAGCGUGGGGAGCGAACAGGAUUAGAUACCCCAGUAGUCC
rnacentral:rRNA from 1 species